rnacentral:rRNA from 1 species
AUGGCCAUUCCCAAGACUUUGCUUCUUGCCAUCGUAGGCUGCAUCUGCUUAUGCAGUAGUGUUGUUCUGUCAGCUCGCGAGCUCGGCGACGCGGCCAUGGUGGAGCGGCAUGAGCAGUGGAUGGCGAAGUUCAACCGCGUUUACAAGGACGGCACCGAGAAGGCACAGCGGUUCGAGGUGUUCAAGGCCAACGUUGCCUUCAUCGAGUCGUUCAACGCCGGAAACCACAAGUUCUGGCUCGGUGUCAACCAGUUUACCGACCUCACCAAUGAUGAGUUCAAGGCAACCAAGACCAACAAGGGCCUCAAGAGGAGCGGUAGCCAGGCUCCAACCGGGUUCAAGUACAACAAUGUCAGCACCGAUGCACUUCCAGCCGCUGUUGAUUGGAGAACCAAGGGUGCCGUCACGCCUAUCAAAGACCAAGGUCAAUGUGGUUGCUGCUGGGCCUUUUCAGCUGUGGCCGCGACCGAGUGCAUUGUGAAGUUGAGCACUGGAAAGCUUGUCUCUCUGUCGGAACAAGAGCUAGUUGACUGUGACAUUCAUGGUGUUGAUCAGGGUUGUGAGGGUGGCGAGAUGGACGACGCCUUCAAGUUCAUCAUCAAGAAUGGCGGCCUCACCACCGAGGCCAACUACCCCUACACCGCACAAGACGGACAAUGCAAGACCAGCAUUGCAAGCAACAGUGUUGCAACCAUCAAGGGCUACGAGGAUGUGCCUGCCAACGAUGAAUCUUCUCUUAUGAAAGCCGUGGCUAACCAGCCCGUGUCAGUAGCUGUGGAUGGAGGGGAUGUCAUAUUUUAA